CGGGGGUAGAGCACUGGAUGGGUAAUGGGGCCCCACAGGCUUACUGAUCCUAACCAAACUCCGAAUACCCGGGAGUACUAGAUGGCAGACACACUGCGGGUGCUAACGCCCGUAGUGAAAAGGGAAACAACCCUGACCGACAGUUAAGGCCCCUAAUUCAUGGCUAAGUGGGAAAGCAGGUGGGACGACCAAAACAACCAGGAGGUUGGCUUAGAAGCAGCCAUCCUUUAAAGAAAGCGUAACAGCUCACUGGUCAAGCGCUCCUGCGCGGAAAAUGUAACGGGGCUUAAGUGAUACACCGAAGCUGUGGAUUCAAUCUUAUGAUUGAGUGGUAGCGGAGCGUUCCGUAGGCCGAUGAAGGUGGACCCGCGAGGGCCGCUGGAGGUAUCGGAAGUGAGAAUGCUGACAUGAGUAGCGACAAAGAGGGUGAGAGACCCUCUCGCCGAAAGUCCAAGGGUUCCUGCUUAAA
rnacentral:rRNA from 1 species